GAGGUCUUAGCUUAAUUAAAGUGGCUGAGUUGCAUUCAGUAGAUGUAUUGUUUGAUUUUACAGGCCUU
rnacentral:tRNA from 1 species